CAUGGAAAUCUUGCAAGUGGAUCGUAAAGAUGCUCAUAUCAAUUUGGAGUUCUGCCUCCAAGCCAGAAUUGCAGUAAUGCACCACGUGUUGGCUGUUUCACUGCCCUCUGUGCCCCACUUUCAGCCCUAUUGUCAGGAGCAUAUAAAUGGACACAUUAAAAAUGCUUUGCCUUUCAAAGACAAAAUGAUAUGCGGUGCACUUUCACUGCCCUGUCUGUAACAUGACAGUCAUACAGCGUGGGGAUAUGGCAAGGCAAUUAUUGUCAUGUCAGCAUUCAGGACUGCUCUUCGCUGCACUCUCCGAGGAGCCCCGCCUCUCUCCCGCUGCACUCUCCGUGGAGCCACAUCUCCCUCUCGAUGUCUUGUCUCCAGUAUCUAAACCAUU